rnacentral:misc_RNA from 1 species
GGUGGGUGAUGCUUCUUGUACAAUUCUCCUCGAUGAUCCUUGACAACAAAAGGUUCAGUCAUUGCUUCACGAAUCCGAGCACCGUGGAAGCUCCCCGGAACCACUCUUGCACCAAGCCUAAAUUUCCUGCUUCUAAUCCAGCUUGAAUUAUCGGUGAACUCAAUCUCUCCGAGUGCUGCAAUUCCAUCUCUUAAAGUGACCGUCAAGCAAUCUCCUGCAAGCAAAGGCCUCUUGCCGGUUCUCUCCUUCAAUAUAUUUUUGUCGAAUUCUUCACUAUUCCAAGUAUUCCGAUCAUCAGAAGGGAAAUCUCCAUCAAGAACGACGAUUUCUAUUUUGAUUGGAGGAGGGGUUGGAACCACUACAUCACCUCUAGUGUCUACUAAAAGGAUAUGAAGGAAAGAGCUAUCUGUAUUAACGAUUUUGCUCCCUGUAAAUAUUGGGAGUGAAAGAUUUUUGCUAAACAUUAGUUGCAGGCUUGAUGGUACUGGCUCAGGUGCCUGGAUUCGCAACGAAGGAGACCGAGUGAAAGGGCGUGAUAAAUGCAUUUUCAGACUGCUCUCCACUUCUUCAUUCACCACUCGCCUGAGCAUUGGCUCCAAGGCCAUACAGAAGUUCUGUAAAGAAUUCACCAUAACCGCUUCUGUAAUUACUGAUGCAAAAGAAGGCCUAGUUCUCUUUCGUUUCUCAAUUAGGUGAUCUGGGUCGGAACCUGAUUCAUCAUGAAAUCGUUUCGCUGCCAUAAUUAGAGCCAAAAGAGAUUCAGAGAGAAGAUGAUGAUGAGAAGUUGCAG